UACGGGGGAGCAAGCGUUGUUCGGAUUUACUGGGCGUAAAGGGCGCGUAGGCGGCCACCGCAAGUCAGUUGUGAAAUCUCUGGGCUUAACCCAGAAAGGUCAACUGAUACUGCGGGGCUAGAGUGCAGAAGGGGCAACUGGAAUUCUACGGUGUAGCGGUGAAAUGCGUAGAUAUCGAGAGGAACACCUGCGGCGAAGGCGGGUCUCUGGGCCUUACCUGACGCUGAGGAGCGAAGCGUGGGGAGCGAACAGG
rnacentral:rRNA from 1 species